CCUACGGGCGGCAGCAGUGAGGAAUAUUGGUCAAUGGACGAGAGUCUGAACCAGCCAAGUAGCGUGAAGGAUGACUGCCCUAUGGGUUGUAAACUUCUUUUAUAAAGGAAUAAAACGAGGCACGUGUGCCUUUUUGCAUGUACUUUAUGAAUAAGGAUCGGCUAACUCCGUGCCAGCAGCCGCGGUAAUACGGAGGAUCCGAGCGUUAUCCGGAUUUAUUGGGUUUAAAGGGAGCGUAGAUGGGUUGUUAAGUCAGUUGUGAAAGUUUGCGGCUCAACCAUAAAAUUGCAAUUGAUACUGGCAGUCUUGAGGACAGUUGAGGUAGGCGGAAUGUGUGGUGUAGCGGUGAAAUGCUUAGAGAUCACGAAGAACCCCGAUUGCGAAGGCAGCUUACUAAACUGUGACUGACAUUGAUGCUCGAAAGUGUGGGGAUCAAACAGGAUUAGAUACCCGUGUAGUC
rnacentral:rRNA from 1 species